rnacentral:lncRNA from 1 species
CUCCCUUUACAGUAGUUGAUAUAAUAGGUCAUCAAUGUCCACCAAGAUAGGUCAGCGACUUGCCCCAAUACGAUUCCGUACUCAUUUAGGAUAGUAUAGAAGAAGGGAUGCAAAGGGAGAUGAAACUCGACCUCUAAUACAUAGAGAGAUAGUAAGAAACCUCAUUUGAUGCCACUCAAUAGUCUCUCUCCCUAGACAAUAUCAAAAUCAUAAGAAAAAUUUGGCAAUCAUAUUCCUCGAACCGCCAAGUGUUGUACCAUC